GCUGUUUCCAUGGAAACGGUGGAGGAGACUGUUGGGUCUGUCUGGCUCAGCACUCUGGCACUGAGGGGCACUUCUGCCAGGUUAAAGGUGGCAGAAACUCUGAGGAAGUCCAACUCGAGAGGCAGGUUCUUCUUGGCUUCAUCCACCAGCCACAUGAAUUCAAAAUCUGGGAAAAGUUGCUUCACAGCCAGGACAAGCACCUGAAAUCCACCAAGCAUCCUGUCAGUCAGCCCAUGGCACUCACCAAGGAAGUGGGCCAGUGUGUGUGCAUCAGACGCAGGCAUCUCGACAGAACAGCCUAUGUAUACCACAUCUCGUCAGGUAUCCUCAGAUGACCUUCAGCUGCCACUGAAGUAGGAACAGAGCAAGUGCACAAAAAAUAAAAGUGGCUGUCCCAGGUCUAAGCCCAACCUAGGGGCAUGAGGACCACUGAAAACAGCUGAAUUCCUCUCUCUGGGUCCAAGGGCAGACAAAAAACAAGACAAAACAAAACAAACAAUAAAACCUUGAGGCUUGCGCUGGAGAGAUGGCUCAGUGGUUAAGAGCACACUGACUGCUCUUCCAGAGGUCCUGAGUUCAAAUCUCAGCAACCACAUGGUGGCUCACAACCAUCUGUAAUGAGAUCUGAUGCCUUCUUCUGAUGUGUCUGAAGACAGUGACAGUAUACUUAUAUACAUAAAAAGAAUAAAUAAAUCUUUAAAAGGAAAAAACCCUCAAGGCUUUUUUUGCUCAGGUCUAGACACUGAGUCUUACCUAGAGACUCAGGAGAAAGGCUCAGGAGAGGCCUAGGAAAGCAGCGAAUGAAUUCCCUUACUUGUACAAUCAGCACUUGACUUCUUGGGCCAACCUGGGUCUACAUAAGGUAGUCUAUGGGAACCUACACAGAUCUAUGCUAGGGGAAGCUGCUGACCAAGCAGCCAUUACUCACUGCUUUCUAUAGUUCGUGCUAUUUAUGAAAAUUUUAAUUAUCCUUAAUAUCCAAGCAUACUGAAAGGUAUUUUAAAGGUUUUUCCAUCACUAAUCAUUCAUAUAAUUAGCCAAUCCUAUGCUAUUGGUCACCAUUAGCACUCUGUGCCAUUCAUCACAAAGGCAGACACUUUAUUAAUAUUCAUUGCUAAUAACUAAUUAGUACAUUAAUCCAUAACCCCAAACCUUCACAGCACUCGCAGAUCUGGGUUCCAAGUCGCUAUGGGGGGUGGGUCCAGCAGUGGUUACACAGGCCCUCUUACCAGGGGAGAAUGCAAGAACACUGUGGGCAUCGAGAACUGCAGAUGAUAGAGCCCUUUAAUUACUGUCCUUUCCUAUACAUAAAGGUUUAUAAUUCAUAAAGGAGGCAUAGCAAGUCAGAAAAAUAAGAAAUGAUAAUAUACAGACGCGGUCUCUCAAAAUUGUGCUCUGUUUUUAUGUUGCACGAACUGGCUGGCUGUGGGUAGCUGAUCCACAGAUACCUAAAAACUCUGGAAAAAAAAAAUCAAGCUGGAAAAAGAGAGCCUCUAUCCUUCAAAUGAGAGGUUUGCAGGCCAGUGAGAGGCCUCAGUGGGCAACAGCACUCACUGAGCAUCUUGACGACUUGACUUCAAUCCCCAAAAUCCACAGUGUAAGGGGAGAGCCUGACCUCUACACAUGUCACGAAGGCACACGUGUUCUCCCCCCCCCUCUCUCUCUCUCACACACACACACACACACACACACACACACACACACACACACACACACAAGGUG